rnacentral:rRNA from 1 species
AACGAACGCUGGCGGCAGGCCUAACACAUGCAAGUCGAGCGCCCGGAUUUAUCCGGGAGCGGCGCACGGGUGAGUAACGCGUGGGAACAUGCCCUGAAGUACGGAACAACCUGGGGAAACCUUGGCUAAUACCGUAUACGCCCUGAGGGGGAAAGAUCUAUCGCUUUGGGAUUGGCCCGCGUUGGAUUAGCUGGUUGGUGUGGUAACGGCGCGCCAAGGCGACGAUCCAUAACUGGUCUGAGAGGAUGACCAGUCACACUGGGACUGAGACACGGCCCAGACUCCUACGGGAGGCAGCAGUGGGGAAUAUUGGACAAUGGGCGAAAGCCUGAUCCAGCCAUGCCGCGUGAGUGAAGAAGGCCUUCGGGUUGUAAAGCUCUUUCAGCGGGGACGAUGAUGACGGUACCCGCAGAAGAAGCCCCGGCUAACUUCGUGCCAGCCGCCGCAGUAA